rnacentral:rRNA from 1 species
GACGUAGGGUGCGAGCGUUGUCCGGAUUUAUUGGGCGUAAAGAGCUCGUAGGCGGUUUGUCGCGUCUGCCGUGAAAGUCCGGGGCUCAACUCCGGAUCUGCGGUGGGUACGGGCAGACUAGAGUGAUGUAGGGGAGACUGGAAUUCCUGGUGUAGCGGUGGAAUGCGCAGAUAUCAGGAGGAACACCGGUGGCGAAGGCGGGUCUCUGGGCAGUAACUGACGCUGAGGAGCGAAAGCGUGGGGAGCGAACAGG